GUGAGGGAAAGUUGAAAAGAACUCUGACGAGAGAGUUCAACAGUGCGUGAAACCAUAUUGAGUAAAACAGAUAACUGUGUCGUUAUGUGGUGUGUCUAUCAACAGUAGCCCGGAGGUUGCGAUGCAGCGAGUGUGAGCUGUUCAUUCAGACGAUCGCUCGUUGUUAGCACUAAUCGGGGUUCUGUGUACUAGUGCACACCCAAUCAUUGAGAAACCAUGCUACUGCGGCAUCGGUGUACAUCAGUCCGUGCCUGGCGCGAAGUUGUAUACUGGGCUCUGCUGGCGGCGUAGUUUAGCUGUGUGACAGCUGUGGGAUGCGUUUGUUGAAUGUGCCUGCUUUGUCUGCGAAUCGGUUUAUUCCUUUUUGCGGUGAGUAUGGUACAGUAGGCGAGCAUCUCGUCAUCAAUGGUUGACAUUAGUUAUUUGACCCGUCUUGAAACACGGACCAAGGAGUUCAAAUGGCACGCGAGUCAUUGGGUUUAAUCACCCGAAGGCGAAGUGAAAUGCAAACGUAUCGUUACUCGUGGUUUCUGCGAUUCAGCGAUAAGCUACUCAUGCUUUCUGGCAUUUGUAGACUAAAAGCGUGAUGUUUGAGACCCGAAAGAUGGUGACCUAUGCCUAGUCAAGAUGAAGCCAGAGGAAACUCUGGUGGAUGUCUGAAGUUAUUCUGACGUGCAAAUCGAUAAUCUGAUCUGGGUAU
rnacentral:rRNA from 1 species